GAAGCGGCAACAGCUCAAAUUUGAAAUCUGACCCUUUGGGGUCCGAGUUGUAAUUUGCAGAGGGUGUUUCGGGCGCGGUGCCGGUUUAAGUCCUUUGGAACAGGGUGUCAUAGAGGGUGAGAACCCCGUAUGCGACCGGCCGCCAAACCCAUGUGAAACCCCUUCGACGAGUCGAGUUGUUUGGGAAUGCAGCUCAAAAUGGGUGGUAAAUUUCAUCUAAAGCUAAAUACUGGCCAGAGACCGAUAGCGCACAAGUAGAGUGAUCGAAAGAUGAAAAGCACUUUGGAAAGAGAGUCAAACAGCACGUGAAAUUGUUGAAAGGGAAGCGCUUGCGACCAGACCUGCUCGCGGGUGAUCAGCGGUGCUUUUCGCGCCGUGCACUCGUCCGCGAUCAGGCCAGCAUCGGUUCCGGCGGCCGGACAAAGGCUCGGAGAAUGUGGCUCCCUUCGGGGAGUGUUAUAGCUCCUUGUGCAACACGGUCAGCCGGGACCGAGGACCGCGCU
rnacentral:rRNA from 1 species